GCUUUUCAAUGAUAUCAUUAAUAAAGGACGUUUUGCAAACAAUUUUGCGAUCCUUGUCUUUCUGUUUUUUUUUCACUUUCAAAACAAUAAAAAAUGGCAAUGUUUUUUGUUUUUUGUGACUUUCUUGAACCCUUUUUCUAAAAUAAAGCAUUAAACAUGCAUAAUCGAUCUUACGGACUCCACUAUAAACAGUUCUGUUAUGGCUCAGUAUGAU
rnacentral:lncRNA from 1 species